UUCCAGAGUGUCUUCAAUUGAAGUGGGAAAUCCAUGAUGGCCAAUAUGUUUUCUUCACUGCUGUCUUCUCGACUGGCCCUCAAACAAUUGCUGAGAGGCCUGGCUUAUCUGCCACAGCCUGGUCCUGCUUAGAUACAGCUGCUCAAUAUUUCCUCAAAGGCAGAGGCUGGGCCAGGGACUUGAGACAUGACUGUACUGGAGAGGAUCCCAGGAAGCAGGCCAUGAUACUGGGAAGAUGGGGGAAGUGAGGAGGAAACGUCUCCUCAGGGAUGUGCUACUGGGGUCAGUAUCCUGUGACCUGAAGGCCUGGAUUCUGCAGCCUAGAGAACUAGCUGUCUGUCUGGGACAGAUGGAGCAAUGGCAGCUCCUACCUGCACAAGUUGUAGGAUCCCCUAGUGACCUGAACAGCACACGGAAAGACAACAGUUUGGUUUAGAUCUAGUGGAAUUCUAGGACAUCAGGGAAAAUCCUGGGGAGGAAGCAAAUCUUCUUGAGAUGAGAGCCAGCCAAACAGUAAGGGAUUACAGCUGCUCUGGGCCACGACACCCCCUCCAGUGUCUCUGAAAUCAGAAGCAAGCUGGGAAAGAAGGAAACCUGUAAUCAUGAAGGCAACGAUCAUUUGUUGAGUACUUGUCUGUUAUUCAUUCACUGAUAAAUAUUUGCUAAGAGUCCA